AGCAGCCGCGGUAAUUCCAGCUCCAAUAGCGUAUAUUAAAGUUGUUGCAGUUAAAAAGCUCGUAGUUGAAUUUCGGGGUCAGUAGGUCGGUCGUGCCACUGGUAUGAACUGGUUUUACUGAUUCCUCCCUCUUGAAGAACUGUAAUGCCAUUAAUUUGGUGUUGCAGGGAAUCAGGACUGUUACUUUGAAAAAAUUAGAGUGUUUAAAGCAGGCUUUAGCUUGAAUACAUUAGCAUGGAAUAAUGAAAUAGGACGUUUGAUCCUAUUUUGUUGGUUUCUAGGAUUGACGUAAUGAUUAAUAGGGAUAGUUGGGGGCAUUAGUAUUCAAUUGUCAGAGGUGAAAUUCUUGGAUUUAUUGAAGACUAACUACUGCGAAAGCAUUUGCCAAGGAUGUUUUCAUUAAUCAAGAACGAAAGUUAGGGGAUCGAAGACGAUCAGAUACCGUCGUAGUCUUAACCAUAAACUAUGCCGACUAGGGAUCGGAUGAGUUAAUUUUUUAAUGACUCA
rnacentral:rRNA from 1 species